rnacentral:rRNA from 1 species
UACGAAGGGGGCUAGCGUUGCUCGGAAUCACUGGGCGUAAAGGGCGCGUAGGUGGCGACCCAAGUCUGUGGUGAAAGCUCGAUGCUUAACAUCGAGUCGGCCGCGGAAACUGGGUGGCUCGAGCACUGUAGGGGCAGAUGGAAUUCCGGGUGUAGCGGUGGAAUGCGUAGAGAUCCGGAAGAACACCGGUGGCGAAGGCGGUCUGCUGGGCAGUUGCUGACACUGAGGCGCGACAGCGUGGGGAGCAAACAGG